UACGAAGGGGGCUAGCGUUGUUCGGAAUUACUGGGCGUAAAGCGCGCGCAGGCGGUUCUCAAGUCAGAGGUGAAAGCCCAGAGCUCAACUCUGGAAUGGCCUUUGAGACUAGAGAACUAGGGUACGGGAGAGGUGAGUGGAAUUCCGAGUGUAGAGGUGAAAUUCGUAGAUAUUCGGAAGAACACCAGUGGCGAAGGCGGCUCACUGGCCCGUUACCGAGCUCAGGCGCGACAGCGUGGGGAGCAACAGGAUAGUACC
rnacentral:rRNA from 1 species